UGGGGAAUAUUGCGCAAUGGGCGAAAGCCUGACGCAGCAACACCGCGUGAGGGAUGACGGCCUUCGGGUUGUAAACCUCUUUCAGCUCCGACGAAGCGAAAGUGACGGUAGGAGCAGAAGAAGCACCGGCUAACUACGUGCCAGCAGCCGCGGUAAUACGUAGGGUGCAAGCGUUGUCCGGAAUUAUUGGGCGUAAAGAGCUCGUAGGCGGUCCGUUGCGUCUGCCGUGAAAACCCGGAGCUCAACUCCGGGCCUGCGGUGGAUACGGGCGGACUAGAGUCCGGUAGGGGAGACUGGAAUUCCUGGUGUAGCGGUGGAAUGCGCAGAUAUCAGGAGGAACACCGGUGGCGAAGGCGGGUCUCUGGGCCGGAACUGACGCUGAGGAGCGAAAGCGUGGGGGAGCGAACAGGAUUUAGAUACCCCUGGGUAGUCCACGCCGUAAACGGUGGGCGCUAGGUGUGGGGAUCGUUUCCACGAUCUCCGUGCCGUAGCUAACGCAUUAAGCGCCCCGCCUGGGGAGUACGGCCGCAAGGCUAAAA
rnacentral:rRNA from 1 species